UGAUUACACAUCUCUCGAAGAUUGAUACUUUAGUUGCACUUUAAGUUUCGACAUGAAAUUAUUUCAAUUAAUAUUUGUAAUUGGCUGCAUUGCUGCCAGUGUACUGGCUACUCCUAGCAAGAAUGUUAUGAAUGGUGGCGGAAAUAAUGGCAAUACCCAAAAGAACAUGGACAUUAAGACGAAAUUUGCAUUGUCUUGAUGAAUAAUUGAAAAUUUUACUAGAACUUUCAUAAUAAAAAUUUACACAAAUAAAUGAAAAUUGUGUGUUCUAAAUAAAAUAAAAAUAA